GAUGAACGCUGGCGGCGUGCCUAAUACAUGCAAGUCGAGCGAACAGACGAGGAGCUUGCUCCUCUGACGUUAGCGGCGGACGGGUGAGUAACACGUGGAUAACCUACCUAUAAGACUGGGAUAACUUCGGGAAACCGGAGCUAAUACCGGAUAAUAUAUUGAACCGCAUGGUUCAAUAGUGAAAGACGGUUUUGCUGUCACUUAUAGAUGGAUCCGCGCCGCAUUAGCUAGUUGGUAAGGUAACGGCUUACCAAGGCGACGAUGCGUAGCCGACCUGAGAGAGUGUUCGGCCACACUGGAACUGAGACACGGUCCAGACUCCUACGCGAGGCAGCAGUGGGGAAUCUUCCGCAAUGGGCGCAAGCCUGACGGAGCAACGCCGCGUGAGUGAUGAAGGUCUUCGGAUCGUAAAACUCUGUUAUUAGGGAAGAACAAAUGUGUAAGUAACUAUGCACGUCUUGACGGUACCUAAUCAGAAAGCCACGGCUAACUACGUG
rnacentral:rRNA from 1 species